rnacentral:rRNA from 1 species
UACGGAGGGUGCGAGCGUUGUCCGGAAUCACUGGGCGUAAAGGGCGCGUAGGUGGCUCGUUAAGUGGUCGGUGAAAUCCCGGGGCUCAACUCCGGGGCUGCCGGUCAGACUGGCGGGCUAGAGCACGGUAGGGGCAGAUGGAAUUCCCGGUGUAGCGGUGGAAUGCGUAGAUAUCGGGAAGAACACCAGUGGCGAAGGCGUUCUGCUGGGCCGUUGCUGACACUGAGGCGCGACAGCGUGGGGAGCAAAC